rnacentral:lncRNA from 1 species
GUUAAUACUAUGUAAUUCUUCUCAAAGCAGAAGAAUUUAGAUUAGUAGCCAUAGAGGCCUACAUAUCUUCUAAGUUGUACAAGUUGGCUACUUUCCUACUCUAACACUAACUCAUAUAGAUAGAUAUCUAUGUAAACUGGAUUUGAAUCUAAAUCACUUCUUACUGUCACGGACACAAAAUACAGACUUGAAAUCUAACAAGAAGUUCAAGAAGGAGUGGUAGAACUAGAUUAAACAGAUGAGUACAAGAACAACACCAGAAAGGUGAGCUAGAACUCCAAGAGAUGUG